GAGAGAGAGAAGGAGGGCGACUGAGAGGUAGACGCUCCGACCCCCGUCCAGGCGCGCCUCCGCCGUUUUCCGGCCGCCAUAGGUUGAUCGGCGAUCACAAAUGGACUCGUCUCUCUCUCUCUUCUACGUUCUCCUACCCAUUGAUUCGACAUACAACCAUCAUAGAGGGAGGUGAAGCACGACUGUGUUCUUCGUUUUCCGGCGAGGCUUCUCUUCUCCUUCCCGGCAUCGCCUCAUCCUCUUGGAGACCAAACCGAACAUGGAGGGAGGCUAGAAGGUUUAGCUGCUGCUGUGUGUUGGAGUAAACCUGAACCUAGAAUCCGGCGAGGCAGCUACUGCCGGCGAGAGAGGCAUGGUUUCCCGUUUGAAGAGUUUUGUGAGAAGGAGGAAGCUACCAGGUUAACUUAAAUCGACUGUGGGUAUGGUCUGGAUCUGAAAUGAAAUUUUGGUUACGGAAUGCAGUGAGGACAGAUCAUUUUCCAAUUUCGGAAAUAACAAGUGGGAACCGAGAGUUGGUUGUGGAAGGAAGCAGCAGCUGUGAUUAUCUGACUUUUGUUUGGAAAGAAGAUCGGUAAGGGUUAUAGUAUUGUAAUUGUAUUGCCCUAGUCUUGUAU